rnacentral:tRNA from 1 species
CAGAAAAUAGUUUAACUUAAAAUGCCAGCUUUGGGAGUUGGUGAUAAAGGUUUGAUUCCUUUUUUUCUGA